UACGUAGGGUCCGAGCGUUGUCCGGAAUUACUGGGCGUAAAGAGCUCGUAGGUGGUUUGUCGCGUUGUUCGUGAAAACUCACAGCUCAACUGUGGGCGUGCGGGCGAUACGGGCAGACUAGAGUACUGCAGGGGAGACUGGAAUUCCUGGUGUAGCGGUGAAAUGCGCAGAUAUCAGGAGGAACACCGGUGGCGAAGGCGGGUCUCUGGGCCGAUACUGACGCUGAGGAGCGAAAGCGUGGGGAGCGAACCGG
rnacentral:rRNA from 1 species